GCUUAAUAUUGAUCAAUACCAAUAUCUCACUGAAGAAGAAAAAAAACCCAAAUUAUAAAAGUAACUCAUAGAAGCCCACCUACUACUUUUCAACACAGUGUCCUGAGAAGAGCAGCUGAGUCCUGAGUCCUGAGUCAGCUAGGAAAUGAGUACCUGUUCAAGCUCUGUCACUAAUCAUGUCACAGAGAGAGAGAGAGGCAGAGACAUAGGCAGAAGGAGAAG